AUAAAGGGUGAACAGAUAUUCAUCCACAUCAAAGAGAGAUCUGAAGCCUACAUCAUGACUUAAGAAUGGAACAAAGCCUUCCGCCUUAUAAUUUUGAGAAUUGUUACUGAAAGACUGUUUGGAGUUUCUGUUCUUGGCAACACUGUGAUGCCUAAGCCACCUGAGGCCAACGUUUGCAUGUUCCAUUUCAGGCCAGUUGAGCAAGAACCAAGCAACCUCACUUGGUCUACAACUGAUAUCUUACUUUUUGCCUUGGCCGACAAGUCUCAAGAUGUGAAUGAAGCUUCUAGCAAACGGUUGUCUCUCUCACCAAAUGAGUCUGUAAAGGAAGAAUAUACCUUACUGUGAUUGGCUGUCACACCGACUUUCAGGGCAUGGGGACAUUCAAGAGCAAAGGGAAAUGGGCUUCAUAAAAGACAAAAUCAAGACGCUGAAUCCUCUGGAAAAAUAGUAGUCUGGGAGGGUCCCCCUUCCUCAGCUCCCUGGCUGUUUCUGGGACACGAGAGCGGGAAACUUGGGACUUUGCCUGCAAACUCGCCCACGUGCGCGUGUGGUGUUCCCCAAAGGAACGCACCUGACGUGGGGUCGUUUCCCUUUGCGAAUUUCACCAGUUAACGGGAUGGGGUUUUCUAAAUGCCACCAGCAUGCCGACCAAACUGCGCGCCGUUCUCUUCGCAUUUCCUGAAGCUGGGUGCGAACUGGAGCGUUCUCACUGCGAGGUUUAAUGCUAGGAUUACUUUCCUCCAAAUGUCACCAAAAAAAGAUGAAACCUGAACAUCACAGCUCGUAUAAACACUGUGUCUCCUUCCUCCUGUUACCUUCUCCCUUCUGGUUCGGAAGAGUUAUUUCCCGGCGGUUGGAUCUUAAGAAAUUCCACCCGGGGUCACCUUAUAUUCCACACCCGAUUCUUAAACCCACAACACCGGAGCGGCUCCUUGCGGUCCAGCAGUGAAUGCGCCCAAACACUGGCUAGUGACGGGUAGGGUCUUUUUGUGCCUGAGCGCGGGCUGCGUUAACCCCAGGGACAGCAUGCUCUCUGACUGGUCGCAGUGAGCACAGAUUUCGGUUUUGGGUACGUGGGCAUCCUUUCCUAAGGGACCCACGAGGCUCCAGUGCAGUCAACAGCAUGAUAGGAGAACGAUGUUUUCUUCUCGAGGGGCGAGCACCGAAGGCAGAUGGCUCCCCACGUGAUGGUGUUUUCGGCCUGCCAAAAUCAAGGUGCCAAGACAGGAGUCGAGGUGCCAAAACUAGUCGAGGAGUUUUACUGCCUCACUGUAUCCUUCCAAAUAAAAUGACAUCAAAUAUCA